rnacentral:rRNA from 1 species
CGCUCUUUGUUAAGAAUUAUAUAAAGAGUCGUGCCUGCCCAGUGAAAUUUAAACGGCCGCAGUACCCUGACUGUGCUAAGGUAGCAUAAUCAUUUGCCUUUUAAUUGAAGGCUAGUAUGAAUGGCUUGACGAAAAUUUUGCUGUCUCUAUUAUAUUAUAUAAAAAUUAAUUUUUUGGUGAAGAAGCCUUAAUUUAUUUAAAAGACGAAAAGACCCUAUCGAGCUUUAAAUUUAUAAGUAAUUUUACUUGUUUUAGAAUAACAAUUUUUUUUUAUUUAUUUUUGUUGGGGUGACAGAAGAACACAUAAAGCUUCUUUUUUUUAAAAAAACCUAUUAGUUAUUUGAUCCUCUAUUUGGGAUAAAAAGAAAUAGUUACCGUAGGGAUAACAGCGUAAUUUUCUUGAAAAGUUCUAAUUGAAAAGAAAGUUUGCGACCUCGAUGUUGGAUUAGAAUACCAAACAGGUGAAGAAGCUUGUUUUAGGAGGAUUGUUCGUCCUUUAAAUUUCUACA